UACGUAGGGUGCGAGCGUUAAUCGGAAUUACUGGGCGUAAAGCGUGCGCAGGCGGUGAUGUAAGACAGAUGUGAAAUCCCCGGGCUCAACCUGGGAACUGCAUUUGUGACUGCAUCGCUGGAGUGCGGCAGAGGGGGAUGGAAUUCCGCGUGUAGCAGUGAAAUGCGUAGAUAUGCGGAGGAACAUCGAUGGCGAAGGCAAUCCCCUGGGCCUGCACUGACGCUCAUGCACGAAAGCGUGGGGAGCAACAGGA
rnacentral:rRNA from 1 species